rnacentral:tRNA from 1 species
GUGCCGCUAGCUCAACCGGUAGAGCAGCCGACUCUUCAUCGGCGCGUUCGGGGUUCAAGUCCCCGGCGGCGCA